AACUUAAAGAAAAAUACUCUCAUCUGUCUACAGCCUCUCUCCCUUCUCUUCUCCCCAAUUGAUUUCCAAAUCCCUAGCUUCUCCAUCUCUCCAUCUCCUCUCGUCGCUGCCCGUCGUUCACCGCCGUCCCGGCGCCAUCGGAACGGGUAAAGGGCGUCGCUUCUCGGGGAUCCUCCGUCGCUUGACUCGAGGCUGCUGCCCGGCGUAAAUCGCGGUGCACACUCCGGCAGCAGCUUCGCCGCCCCUCCUCCAUCCAGUUCCCCCCCUCUCUCGGCCAGAAACGUCCUUCUCGACAGGAUGUUGCAGCGAAGGGAUUGGUUGGUGACAUCCCUGGCAAUGGCUGGCGCGAAAGAGGGUUCAAGUUGGUUAAUCACAGUCUUUCUGAGCUCCUGCAGCCGCUGGAGGAGAGUGUCGGCUGGGAUUGCUUCUUUUAGCCGAGCACUUCCUCAUUUCUGGAAAGGGACAAGGGGCUGACCUCGUCUAGGUGACCUCCCAUCUGUUCGUCCCUACGGGCCAUCGAAAUUUGGGCCGAAGCCUCGUUAGGAACAAGGACCCGAAGCUAGUUGUUUCAUUUGUAAAGAGAUAGGGCUUUUCUACUUGUAAACAAAUCUCUGUAAUUGUAACGCCCCACUUUUUGGAACCCUAAUUUUUGAACCCUAAGACGAUUGCUUUUAUUUCUUUUAAUGUCGUGAAUUAAAUGAUGGAUUGUUAUGUGA